UACGUAGGGGGCAAGCGUUGUCCGGAAUCAUUGGGCGUAAAGCGCGCGUAGGCGGCCCGAUAAGUCUGCUGUGAAAGUCCAGGGCUCAACCCUGGAAUGCCGGUGGAUACUGUCGGGCUAGAGUUCGGAAGAGGCAAGUGGAAUUCCUGGUGUAGCGGUGGAAUGCGCAGAUAUCAGGAGGAACACCUAUGGCGAAGGCAGCUCGCUGGGACGGUACUGACGCUGAGACGCGAAAGCGUGGGGAGCAAACAGG
rnacentral:rRNA from 1 species